rnacentral:lncRNA from 1 species
GACAGUGGCCCAGGGCCAGCUGCUCGGGUCAAAGUGGAGCAGGGCUGAGGCUAGGUGGUAGGAGGCUGCCCUUCAGGACCCGGGCCUGAAGUUGGGCUGCGCAGAAGCCCACUGCCCAUCACUGCAGGGUGAAGACGGCUCUAGCGAGGAAGGAGGCAGCCGUGAACAGUCUCCGGAAACAGCACGAGGCUGCCGAGAAGCGGGCGGACCACCUGGAGGAGCUGCUGGAGCAACACAAAGGGCCAUCUUUGAGUUCCAAGUGACAUCUCCCUUGGGACGACAAGCCAAGCCUGAGGCAGACGCUCAGGCCUGUGGCUGGUGUCCAGGUCAUGCUCCAAGACACAGGGCUGAGGGUAGGACAACAGCUGGUGUGUGAGAGGCACCGUGGAGCCCACUGCCCAGGACACUACUGUCUGCAAGCCUGCAGCUGUUCUGUAGUAAAAUGGUUAGGUGGCUUUUUU